rnacentral:lncRNA from 1 species
AGGCCCCGCCCCGGCCCCGCCCCCUGCGGCCCCAAGGCUCGCGGUCAGCCUCACCCCGCGGGUGCUUGCCGUCUUCUUGUCUUCUGACCAAUCUUUAUCUGAUCUUUUUUAGAUCCCCUUUGGCGCCCGCCUUGAAAGCAAGAGGAGAGCGGGAAGGGGGGGAAUGCACCUCUUAGACGCGCACCUCCUACUCUGUCUAGACCCCGCCUCCACACAGAAGGAACCGGGCAGCGGGAAAGGCUGACGCGACUCGCGCCAUCUUUUACUUGGGCGGAACCAAUCGCUGCUUGACGAGCCUCCAUUUCCUAAUGGGACACCGGAUCCAGGGUGGCAGCAGAACCACUGUGUUGAAGCUGUGAGAUUUUCCAUCUCAGCACAAGAACUCAAUGUAAGAGCUGUCAAGAUGAUGGUAAAGGAGAGCAUUCAAGGAUGGGUUGGCUGUGUCCAAGAGGCCAUUCAGAUAUUCCAUUUUCCAGUCGUGAGAGUUAAGACUUAAUGAGUCCACUAAGGGUGAGUUUCCUCUUUUCAUCACUGCUUAGUUUCUGUGACCCACGAGCAUUUAGAAAGUGAAACCCCUUGGUAAGUAUAGGACAGGAACAGAAACUUGCAAUUCCUCCUCUGAUUCUAGCCAAC